GAUGAAGAACGUAGUGAAAUGCGAUAAGUAGUGUGAAUUGCAGACUUUAGUGAAUCAUCGAAUCUUUGAACGCACAUUGCGCCCCCUGGUAUUCCGGGGGGCAUGCCUGUCCGAGCGUCAUUGCUGCCCUCAAGCACGGCUUGUGUGUUGGGCCUCCGUCCUCCUCCCGGGGACGGGCCCGAAAGGCAGCGGCGGCACCGCGUCCGGUCCUCGAGCGUAUGGGGCUUCGUCACCCGCUCUUGUAGGCCCGGCCGGCGCUUGCCGACACAUCAAUCUUUUUUCCAGGUUGACCUCGGAUCAGGUAGGGAUACCCGCUGAACUUAAGCAUAUCAAUAAGCGGAGGA
rnacentral:misc_RNA from 1 species